rnacentral:rRNA from 1 species
AGCGUAGACGGAUGGACAAGUCUGAUGUGAAAGGCUGGGGCUCAACCCCGGGACUGCAUUGGAAACUGCCCGUCUUGAGUGCCGGAGAGGUAAGCGGAAUUCCUAGUGUAGCGGUGAAAUGCGUAGAUAUUAGGAGGAACACCAGUGGCGAAGGCGGCUUACUGGACGGUAACUGACGUUGAGGCUCGAAAGCGGUGGGGAAGCAAACA